UUUGUCUUUUGUAUUGUUUAUACUUGACUAUGUUUAAGAAGUAUACUUGCUUCCCCUAAAAAGUUAAUCUAAAAUCGAUUUCAGCUAUACUAUUUUUUCCGUGUUUAGCUGACGAUGUCAGUUUGCUACAAUCACCAAGUCAACAAACGCGUUCGGAAAUUUGCUCUUGGUCGGAUGUGAUUUUGUAGGCGAAAUUGCUUAAAAGAAAGUGUUUUUCGCGAAGUAAAUCAAGUUUACAGUUUUGCGAAAAGUGAGAAGUGUCUUUUGAGCCGUGGCACCCGAUUUCCUCCGAAUAUCAAGCGUCAUCCGUCGCGCCAUUGUGGAAUGUCCGGACCUCUGCUCCUGAAAUAACCCUGAAAAGUUUCCGGUGGUUUCAGUGUCCUAACCGGAACGCCCCAGAAACCAAACGCCCCAGACGCCGACCACUUCUGAUUGAUGCACAGCAAGAAAGUGAGGGAAUCCGACAUCUGCAAAUCCAAGCACUCGCGGGCCGCCGUUGGUCAUCACUUGGUCCGUUUUUCAACCGGCGUUAACGUGCCGCUGCUCAACUACCGUAGAGUGUGCUGAGUUACUUUUGGUUUUCACUGGACAAUGCUUCCCCGGACCGCCCCAGACGCCGAACCAAUUUGAACCGCACCGCCCCGGACCCUGAACCAAUGUAAACCGGAACACCCCGGACCCCGAACCAAUUUUAACCGUGCCGCCCCGGACCCCGAACUAAUUUGCACUGGAACGUCGCGGACCCCGAACCAACUUGAACCGGACCGCCUCAACACGUCAACUGCCUCUUGAUUGCUGCACAGUUCUUUCAGCAUGGACAGGUUGCCACAAGAACUUGGUCCGGAGGUCGCAGCGCAGUUAGCUGUCGGUAUACAGGCGCUCCUGAAAAUAAUGGCGGAGCUGACACACCAGGGCAACGUCCGAAAAUCAGAACCUUCAAACUUACCGCCUUUGGAGGAUUAUGCUUCAGUGUUUGUUAAAUGGAGGCAAGAAUCACCAAACGAGGAAAUGGAAGUGUCAGAAGUUCCCUUCGUUUAUUGCGAUGCGCUACCUUUCACUGAAGGAACAUAUUUCGUGGUCAUGGAGAAAGGAGCAAUCGAUUGUGGGGAAGACUUUUUCUUAGCGUUGGAUUUGCUUCUAAAGGCGUAUAAAGUGUUUAAUAUCAAUAUUCCUAGUAAAGCUAAGAAGACAAUUGACUUUUUCAAUGUUUUUGUAUAUAAAAUCAUCAAACGCAGCCGAGUAACACGAGUUAACGACCUCUGUGCUCAUUUGUCCAAGGCUGCCAAUGCACUUCCAUAAUAUGUGAAAUUGGAAGAAAUAUUUGAAAGAAGUUAUCAAUGAACAACUAUUGAAUUGAAGUUAUCAAUAAAGAUCUAUUGAAUUGAA
rnacentral:lncRNA from 11 species